GACCUCAGAUCAGGCAAGAUUACCCGCUGAGUUAAGCAUAUCACU
rnacentral:rRNA from 1 species